GAUGAACGCUGGCGGCGUGCUUAACACAUGCAAGUCGAACGGUGAAGGGGAGCUUGCUCUCUGGAUCAGUGGCGAACGGGUGAGUAACACGUGAGCAACCUGCCCCGGACUCUGGGAUAAGCGCUGGAAACGGCGUCUAAUACUGGAUACGAGACACCUCCGCAUGGGGAGUGUUUGGAAAGAUUUUUCGGUCUGGGAUGGGCUCGCGGCCUAUCAGCUUGUUGGUGAGGUAAUGGCUCACCAAGGCGUCGACGGGUAGCCGGCCUGAGAGGGUGACCGGCCACACUGGGACUGAGACACGGCCCAGACUCCUACGGGAGGCAGCAGUGGGGAAUAGUGCACAAUGGGCGGAAGCCUGAUGCAGCAACGCCGCGUGAGGGAUGACGGCCUUCGGGUUGUAAACCUCUUUUAGCAAGGAAGAAGCGAAAGUGACGGUACUUGCAGAAAAAGCGCCGGCUAACUACGUGCCAGCCGCCGCAGUAAGAC
rnacentral:rRNA from 1 species